UACGUAGGGCGCAAGCGUUUGUUCGGAAUUACUGGGCGUAAAGGGCUCGUAGGCGGCCAACUAAGUCAGACGUGAAAUCCCUCGGCUUAACCGGGGAACUGCGUCUGAUACUGGAUGGCUUGAGUUCGGGAGAGGGAUGCGGAAUUCCGGGUGUAGCGGUGAAAUGGCGUAGAUAUCUGGAGGAACACCGGUGGCGAAGGCGGCAUCCUGGACCGACACUGACGCUGAGGAGCGAAAGCCAGGGGAGCAAACGGG
rnacentral:rRNA from 1 species